UACGAAGGGGGCUAGCGUUGUUCGGAAUCACUGGGCGUAAAGCGCACGUAGGCGGAUGUGCCAGUCAGGGGUGAAAUCCCGGAGCUCAACUUCGGAACUGCCUCUGAUACAGCACGUCUUGAGUCCGGAAGAGGUGGGUGGAAUUCCUAGUGUAGAGGUGAAAUUCGUAGAUAUUAGGAAGAACACCGGUGGCGAAGGCGGCCCACUGGUCCGGUACUGACGCUGGGGUGCGAAAGCGUGGGGAGCAAACAGG
rnacentral:rRNA from 1 species